GAUAAGAUGUAUUUUUAAACACAUAUGCACACAGGGAUAUUUCAUAAUCAUUUCAACUGAACUGAGUGUGUGUCAGUAACAAAAUAUAUCUUUGUGCCACGUUGACAAGAAAAGAGAUGAAAUAUCUCUUUGUUUUUUGUUAUGUAUUAUUGUCAUUUAUGUUUUUAAAUUACGCUUUGCAUGAAAAGAUAUGCUUGAAACAUACUAAAUGUAUAUUUUAUGAUGAAAGACCAUUUUAAUUCCCUUUGUCUUCAUCUUCCUUUUUGAAAAAGAGGAAUAAUGUGCAAUUAAUACCUCGGGAGUUUAUAUUAAUAUAAUAAUAAUGGCUGCAGACAGGAGCACGCAUCGACGCUGUCUUGUCCCCCGCUUCUGAUUGGCCCAGCACCACCUCCUCUGACGUCAGUGAACUAAAUAUUUUAAGCAGAGACGCCCCAUUAACAGUCACAUCGAUGCGUGUGUGUCGCUUAGCAACCAAUUUCACUUCACUUGAAGAAAUAUGUUUUUUGUUUUUUUGUUUUUUCAUGAAGAAUGACGUUUUAAUUGACGCUGAAAUGAUGUGCCAACAGAGAUGACUAUUUUUACAACACGUGCGGGGUUAUUCAUCGUGAAGCUCACACCUCAGUGAUUCACGGGGAGUGCCGCCUACCUGUUUGCAGCCAGCCUGGAGGAUAUGUAUCCUCCCGGGAUUUGUGUCACGAUGUAGCCCCAGAAAAAAGAUCCGUGAAUCAGCCCCACCGUCUCUGGAUCCCAAUUGAACUUGGCUUUCUGAACCUUGAGACGCUCAGCCUACGUUGUUUUUACGUCAGCAGCAGGGUUUGGGUGCAGUUGCCACACCUCUUUGAUGAUGAUCUUGCCGUUCUGGUGG